UGACCUCGAAUCAGGUAGGAAUACCCGCUGAACUUAAGCAUAUCAAUAAGCGGAGGAAAAGAAACCAACCGG
rnacentral:rRNA from 1 species